UCAUAAAAUGCAGAGUAUGAAGAGUUAAAAUGCAGAUUUGUUUACUUGUACUAUUAAAACUAUAAGCAAAGCAUAGCAAUGUAGAAUAUACUAGAGAUAUAUUACAAUAUAUUAGAAAUACCUAAUGUAUAUUGGAAUAUAUUAUAUUGUUACACAUUGACUGUCCGAAUAUUUGCUUUGCUAAGUGGCUAUCUUUAUCCCCACCAACUUUUGUAGGGAAGCUUUCAUCCAGAACGCAGCUUCAAUGUUAUACGAGUUCUUUGUUAUUUUAUUACACUGUCAAAGGAUUCGAUACACAAUUUGCAUUUUGUUACUUGUUUUCGACAUUCUUAAUGGCAACUAGGAAUUAUAAUGAACAGAAUGGCGAAUCGUGGAGUUGGACGAUCGGAACGAUGAUUUUCUGGUCGGUCGGUAAGGAGGUAGAAAAAACGCGACCGCAAAUCUUGAUGAUCCGCAGAAACGCAAGGAACUGAACCGUCUCGUGACAAAUACUUAACCACGAUUCAAUUGGUAUAACUAUUAACAUAACCGCAAAAGGAGAUAAAAGAAACAUGAUAGAAAAUACUUUCACGGUGUUAAUGGAAUUUAUAUAAACGUCGACUACGGUAAAAGUUGUAGGUAAAAGAUGACGAAAGAAAAAAUGAGAAAAAAGAUACAAAAAGAAAAAUAAAAAAUAUUUUUAAGAAGGCAAAAUGUGAAAAAUGGCGGGGAUUUUAAAUCGGCACACGUUGGAACAUAGGAUAUACUAAAGUGACAAUAGAUAAAAUAUGGUAGGAUAAUACCUAGACAUAGAGUGAAAAGAAUUAAUUUCCAAUUUCGGCAACGUAAGCAGUUUACACGCUUUUGUUUGUCGUAUACGAUUUGUGAAUACAAAAUUAUCUUAUCGUGGUCUCCUUUUGGUGUUUAGCAAACCUAGCUUACGUGGUUCGCAUUUUCAUAUCACAGAAUCGUAGCUAAACGUAACGUUCACGUAACGUCUUCGUUUUUACGUAAGGAAGUCGAUUAUUCGAUUUCGAUUUCUUCGAUCUAGAUUUUUCAUGCAAUCUCUCUAUAAAUAUUAUUAUAUAUAAUUAUAAAAAAUAUAUAAUAUUGUUAAUAUCAAUAAGUAAUAACACAUUGCGAAUUAGUCGCGAAAAAUGAUUCUUAAUAUUAAUUUACAAUUUUUACAUUUUUAAAAUAUAGUGAAGAGAAUAUAAAGGUGACUAAUUAUCCUUAGCGUAUUCACUAGAUGAGAAAUUUUUAAAGGUUAAAUUUUCCAUUUAUUAUUCAUUCAUAAAUAAGAGGGGUAAUUAAUCAUCUUUGUAAACACAAGCGAUGAUCUCAGAAAUAUGCAAAAGAAUUUGUUAUUCUAACGAAAAAAUUAUCAUCGUCAUCACCGUCAUUACUGGUAUUGCGUGUGAAAAUAUUUAGAGUGCAACCAUAGUUAACGAACUAUAACACUCACGAAACGGAUGAUUUCUAAUAAAUACCUACGCUGACUGAACUUCCACUAUAAAUCUUUCACUCGAAUUUUCCAAACAGAUUUCGCCGUUCGUCUUUUCAAUUUGCGAUUUAAUUACUACUUAAUGUAUUUUUCUUUAAUCACAUUAAUUUGAUUUACUAUCUUUUUAAUUAUAAUAUCGAGGCAUAAAUUGUUUUUUGUUAAUUAACUCAUAACUAGUUUCCGUUUCAAAUAAUUUAAAAUUACAAAUAUCUCUAUUUCGAAUAAUUUGAUAUUAAAUCAAUUUUAUUUUCAGCAAUUUAUGAAAUACAUUAGAUUCAUUUUCAGAUUCAUAUUCUUCUUUUUCUAAUUGGUAUGCACUUCUACCAAUAUAUACUUAUGAUUUUGUCAAUUACAGGUAAAAUUGAAUUCCUCAUUCUGUUAUAUUUCAAACGCAAACCAAUAUUUGUUGUAUUUAACAAUCAAUUCAAAUAAUACAGUUUUGCGGAUAACAAUACGGUUUCCGAUUGUGCAUUGGCUAUUACACUAGCGUGAAGUUAUUCAAUUUAUCUGUAGAAAGGAUAUCAUAUCCAACAUGGUGAUUAAGAAAUUAAAAUCGAAGAGGAAAUUGAGAAUUGGAAUAUUAUAAUAAAAACUUUUUCAACGUUCAAAUAUUACUCCAUUGUUUACUACAUAAUCUUCUACACAAUUACAUUAUUAUUACUAAAGGCAGAUAAUAAGUCGUCUGAUGGAAGAACAGUUUUAUUAAAUAAAGGUUUAUUCAAUUUACUCUAUAAUCAUAGAGAAUUUCAAGUUCUGCUUUGCUUAACAAUGCUACAAUAUUGCAGAAGCGUCGUUGCAAUUAUCCGAAAAGUGGGGAAACACUCUUUGGUAUUGUUCCAAGCGUCUUCGU